rnacentral:tRNA from 1 species
UAAAAAGUUCUUUAAACA